rnacentral:rRNA from 1 species
GAUGAACGCUGGCGGCGUGCCUAAUACAUGCAAGUUGAGCGGGAGGUUUACCUCCAGCAGCGAACGGGUGAGUAACACGUAUCUAACCUGCCCUUAAGUCUGGAAUAACGUUGGGAAACCGACGCUAAUGCCGGAUAGGUAAUUGAAUCUUAUGAAUUAAUUAUUAAAGAAGCGUUUGCUUCGCUAAAGGAUGGGGAUGCGCAGCAUUAGAUAGUUGGUGGGGUAAUUGCCCACCAAGUCAACGAUGCUUAGCCGACCUGAGAGGGUGAUCGGCCACACUGGAACUGAGACACGGUCCAGACUCCUACGGGGAGGCAGCAGUAGGGAAUUUUCGACAAUGGACGAAAGUCUGAUCGAGCAACGCCGCGUGAGGGAAGAAGGUCUUCGGAUUGUAAAACUCUGUUAUUAGAGAAGAACAAGGACGUUAGUAACUGAACGUCCCCUGACGGUAUCUAACCAGAAAGCCACGGCUAACUACGUGCCAGCCGCCGCGGUAAUU